rnacentral:rRNA from 1 species
AUGAACGCUGGCGGCGUGCCUAAUACAUGCAAGUCGAGCGAACGGACGAGAAGCUUGCUUCUCUGAUGUUAGCGGCGGACGGGUGAGUAACACGUGGAUAACCUACCUAUAAGACUGGGAUAACUUCGGGAAACCGGAGCUAAUACCGGAUAAUAUUUUGAACCGCAUGGUUCAAAAGUGAAAGACGGUCUUGCUGUCACUUAUAGAUGGAUCCGCGCUGCAUUAGCUAGUUGGUAAGGUAACGGCUUACUAAGGCAACGAUGCAUAGCCGACCUGAGAGGGUGAUCGGCCACACUGGAACUGAGACACGGUCCAGACUCCUACGGGAGGCAGCAGUAGGGAAUCUUCCGCAAAGGGCGAAAGCCUGACGGAGCAACGCCGCGUGAGUGAUGAAGGUCUUCGGAUCGUAAAACUCUGUUAUUAGGGAAGAACAUAUGUGUAAGUAACUGUGCACAUCUUGACGGUACCUAAUCAGAAAGCCACGGCUAACUACGUG